rnacentral:rRNA from 1 species
UUACCUGGGCUUGACACGUGAGUGACCGGCGUGGACACACGUCUUCCCUUCGGGGCACUUUCACAGGUGGUGCAUGGCUGUCGUCAGCUCGUGUCGUGAGAUGUUGGGUUAAGUCCCGCAACGAGCGCAACCCCCGUCGCAUGUUGCCAGCAUUUAGUUGGGGACUCAUGCGAGACUGCCGGUGACAAACCGGAGGAAGGUGGGGAUGACGUCAAGUCCUCAUGCCCCUUAUGUCCAGGGCUACACACGUGCUACAUUGGCGCAUACAGAGGGUUGCGAUACCGCGGGGUGGAGCGAAUCCCUUAAAGUGCGUCUCGGUUCGGAUUGCAGGCUGAAAUUCGCCUGCAUGAAGGCGGAGUUGCUAGUAAUCGCGGAUCAGCAUUGCCGCGGUGAAUACGUUCCCGGGCCUUGUACACACCGCCCGUCACACCACG